CGUGUACUAGCUGUUAGGGCUGAGAGCUGGGACCUAGAGAGAAAUUCAGUCAUGUUUGUCCUGGGUUCCAUCGAGAUAGGUGUGGGGAUAGGCUUGAUUUCUAUUACAAAUAAUGUAACAUUACAUAUGUUAGUACUACUAACACUUCUUGGGACUGUGCCUCAGGGAUCACAACCUAUAUAAGUUUAGAAGUUCUGAAAGACAGUCAUGACCUUGGUGUAUAGGUUCAGAUAGUGUCCAGAUUGGAAUCCUGAUGCUAAAGACUUAGUAAGAGAC
rnacentral:lncRNA from 1 species